GGGUAGUUUGACUGGGGCGGUCUCCUCCUAAAGAGUAACGGAGGAGCACGAAGGUUGGCUAAUCCUGGUCGGACAUCAGGAGGUUAGUGCAAUGGCAUAAGCCAGCUUGACUGCGAGCGUGACGGCGCGAGCAGGUGCGAAAGCAGGUCAUAGUGAUCCGGUGGUUCUGAAUGGAAGGGCCAUCGCUCAACGGAUAAAAGGUACUCCGGGGAUAACAGGCUGAUACCGCCCAAGAGUUCAUAUCGACGGCGGUGUUUGGCACCUCGAUGUCGGCUCAUCACAUCCUGGGGCUGAAGUAGGUCCCAAGGGUAUGGCUGUUCGCCAUUUAAAGUGGUACGCGAGCUGGGUUUAGAACGUCGUGAGACAGUUCGGUCCCUAUCUGCCGUGGGCGCUGGAAGAUUGAGGGGGGCUGCUCCUAGUACGAGAGGACCGGAGUGGACGCAUCACUGGUGUUCGGGUUGUCAUGCCAAUGGCACUGCCCGGUAGCUACAUGCGGAAGAGAUAAGUGCUGAAAGCAUCUAAGCACGAAACUUGCCCCGAGAUGAAUCUUCCCUGAGCCUUUAAGGCUCCUGAAGGAACGUUGAAGACGACGACGUUGAUAGGCCGGGUGUGUAAGCGCAGCGAUGCGUUGAGCUAACCGGUACUAAUGAACCGUGAGGCUUAACCUUACAACGCCGAAG
rnacentral:rRNA from 5 species